UUAAAGCUUCUAUAAUAAGUAAAGGAAAUUCCCAGAAUAAAAGAUUUCACAAUAACUUAAAGAUCAAAAUAUGAGAACUAUAAAACAAAUAUUUAUGGGGUACCUUCUCUAUACAAGUCCUACUACAGAGAAUAUAUGAAACAUAAAACAUGAUGGCUGCUCCAUAGGAACCUACAAUACAACUGGGAAAAUAUGUCAUAAACAGAUAAAAACAAUAGCAAUACAAGAGUUAAAUAAUUAUGAAGACAACAGUAUAAGAGACAUCACAAAGUAUUUCUUGAUUAAUUGCCAAGUGAGUAUGUGAGUUGACAACAAAUACUAUGAGUUCAAAGUUGAAAGCAAGAGACAAGGGAGAUGAUCUGGCAGCAAUGGAUGGCAUUUUCUAACCUACCCUCAAAGACAGAAGAUAGAAUGGCCAUUCUCCUUUUUCCCUGGGAGACAAGAAUCCACACCUUAGUACAGACUACCCUAACAGGAUGUGAUGGGAUUCCUCAUUCACUUAGCUCACUGCAUUUUAUACUCUUCUAAUAUACUUAUAUUCAAAUUAUAUUUAUCUGUCUACCUGUCUCCUCUCAUCUGCCUAGGCCAGGAUCUCCUUGAGAGCAGAGAACUUUCCUUAUCUAUCUUAGUAUCUUCCCUAGCAAACUGCAAAUAGUAGGCACUUAAGUGUUUUUUGAAUGAAAUUCUCAGCCCUUAAUUUGGCAUACCAAAUCUGUACUCAUUUACUAAACUACCUGGGCUUUCCCUACUGUCUCUCAGUAGUUACUGACCACCUAACACCAUCCUAUACAUGCCAGUUCUAUGAAUAUUUCUAAUACUUCCUAAGGCAAGAACCAAGGUAAGAACCAUGAGCUCUUACACUGACUUUUCCUGGUUAUCUGGUCAAUAUAAAUAUUCUGAUCACAUAGUUUAAGAAUACUGUCUCCCAGAUAUUUUAAUAAAGGAUUGGGUAAGUCUGGGUAGGUGAAAUAGAUGAUAACUGGUCCCAACUUUUUAUUUGUUCCAAGAUGGAUUCCACUGUCUAAUAAUUAAAUUUGAGUCUUAUACCCAAUUAUUUAACUGCUUAAGUUACAACCUGUAGUCCAACUUUAAAUAACUGCCUCAAAGUCAGCUAGGUGGCCUGAAGUCAGGAAGAUCUAACCAAAUCUCAGAUACUUACUAGCUAUGAGACUCUGGGCAAAUCUCUUUGCUUCAGUUUGCCUCUGUUUCCUCAACUGUAAAAUGGGGAUAACAAAAGCACUUCCCUCCCAGGGUUGCUGUGAGAAUAUUUAUAAAGGACUUACCAUAGCACCUGUCACAUAGUAAUAAGCACUAUUUAAAUGUUAGCUAUAAUGAUGAUGACUAAAACUCCAACUUCCUACUUUUAACUCCUUAGCUCUAUUACAUUAAACCAUUUUCUUUUUCAUGCACAGAACAAAAAGCUGCUGGUAGUUUGCAUUUUUUAAUAAAAAAGGUAUAAUUUUUAUGCAAUCUACUUUUUCUUUCAUUCCUACUUCCAGCAUUUCACAUGCAAUAACAUUAUAGUUAUUAGUUGUAUCAAAAUGUUUGAAUAGCGACUGUUUCGUAAUAUAAAUCACAUUUUUACUUGAGGUCCACACACAUAUGUAUAGACUUAUUUCAGUAGCACAUUCAUAAAUCCUCUCAUUUUUAAUAAUCUGGUUCUUGUAAAAAUGUCAGGCACAUCUGAGGGAUUGUAGUUUUAUCUAUGUGUAGCAAGAUCUGAAAUAUGAUAAAUUAGUUUGAAAAGCUAUACAUCAUUUCGGCUAUUUAUAUCAAUAAUAUUUUCACCUGGGGUCUUCUUUCAGGGGACCUAAAUAACUACAGAUUUUUAUUCAAAGCUGAAGUGUGCCACCUAGUGCCAGAUAGAAAACUUACAGACCAUCCAUAAGGCUUUCCAACAAGAUACACAUUAGUGCCCAAUAUGUUUAUUUGCAGUGAUAUUUUUGAUGUCACAUUACAGCAUGAAACAUUUUUGAGAACUGAAUCAUAGACUGGUACACACGCAUUUGUUCUACAUUUCCUCUCCAUCCUUCCAGGUGAAUAGGGUUCUAUGAAGUCUAUUUUGAUGGUCCACAUUCAAAUUCAAAACUUUACAUCUCUAACAUUUCCAGCCUGCCAUAAAAACUUUAAAAUUACUUUCCCGGCCUAAAUAUCAAGUACAACUCCAUAGUUUGAAUUUCUAGUUUUUUACACAUAUUAUUACAAUUACUGUGACAUCACAAUGGCAUCAAGGUGUCGUUUCAUAUAAGAGUGAAAACAGAUGAAUGUAAGCACAUCUAUAAUACUUUGUUUCAGAAACAUGGUCAUUAAAAUAUUUUCAGCUCUAUAUUGUGGAAAUUAGUACUCUAUGAAAAGCAACAUGGCACAGAAAGAGAGUAGUAGACCUAGAGUUAAAACUUCCCCCUGGCCUAUGGAUGCCUGAACAUGCUUAAAGGCUCUCAACAACUCUCCAAGAUAGUGUGAAGGGUAGGCUGUGGUCGGCCUAUCCAUACCUACAAAAUCACAAUCACAACUGACUUAAUCUGGAGACACCAAAACAAGUGUGAAUCUUAAAACUGCUCACUCUACUUCAGAAGAUUUGAUUAAGCUAUUCCCCAUUUUCUACAAUGGAGGUACUUGGUCAGGAAUGUAUUGAGAACUUUAAAAUUACUCCACCCUGCUCAGACAGUGCCUUAGGGGAAGAUAAAGUUGUAAAAUUUCUUACUGAACAAUGAAAAGUCCCCAACUCAUACUUAUAGUGAAGCAAAAACCCUAAGCUAGGUGGUCUAUUUUAGAUCUAAUACAAAAGGGUGCCAAGUACCUAUAAAGGUUAAAUUAAUCACUAAAAGGUCAAGCAACUUACAAAGGGCAAGCUUAGCAAAGAGAUGUGAAAUACUCAGAAGAUAUAAUCUAAUCAGAGAAGGUGGUAACAAAAGAAGAUGUGAACUAAGAAUGGUCAGUCCUGGGGAAAAUGUCUACUGUGAUUGGUAGAUGUGAAAAUUUAGGGGAGGUGACACAAGAGAAAUUUCUCUUUAAAAGGAGGUCAGGAGUUCAGAGGAGGCUCUCUAAACUGAGUUGGAGUUUGGAGUUAGUUUGGAGGAGCUGGCUCUCUGAACUGAGUUCAGAAGUUGAGGAUUUCAGUGAAGGACUGGAGUUUUGCUUUAGGAAGGUCUUGUGGUGAGUGAUAAAAGACUGACUAGUCUCUCUUAAGGCUCAGGCCUAGGCCAUUUGGCCUAGGCCCUUCCUACUAUUUUCUCUUUCUCUCUCUCUCUCUCCCUUCCCUUAAAUUCCUUCAUUUGUAUUAAUUAAAAUCCCCAUAAAACCCA